CUCCGGGCCGCGUCUUACUACGACCUGCAACCCCCGUCACAUGCUCCGGGACUACACGCCAGGCACGCUGCCUACAUGCAUGGUUCCCGUAUCUCCUCCCGGUUCCACACACUGACGGACCGGCCACACAGUACAGUGAGUACCGCACGGUCGCCGAUGCAAAGACUACAAGUUCCCUUGGCAAUACUGUGUGGAAAUGCUGGCAUCGAAAUUGGUCCCAAACACCUCCUGAACCGUUGAGUCACGGCAGUGUCAAAGUGCUUACAGUGCAGGUAGUCUUACAAUAUCUACUGCAGUGAAGGCACUUUCAGCACUGUCGUGACACUGGUGAAGUUCCAAUACACCCAUCACGAGCAGGUGCUUGCGACUGGUGCUUAUGCUAAGGUGCAUCUAGUGCAGAUAGUGAAGUAGACUAGCACCUACUGCCCUAAGUGCUCCUUCUGGCAUAAGGAGCUAGAACUCUCAUCUGCGGUGCGCUCACUCAAGUCUUCGGUGGUCUAAAACGGUUCACUGCCAGUUUUGCGUAGUUGCUCUGCAAGAAAAUUGAGUUGUGCAAAUCUAUGCAAAACUGACGGUGUACUGUGUGUCUGCAAAAUCAAGGGUCAUCUGGCUGAUGUUUAUGAUGACUAGGAUGGCUGAUGUGGCCACCUGUUGCUGCUGCAGGACACUGGAAGCAUGCGUUGGUUCCAGCAGUAUUAAAGUGCUUAUAGUGCAGGUAGUUGUAUGUAUUUCUACUGCAGUGUGAGCACUUAAAGUACUUCUAGAGGCGUACAUCGUCGCGUGGUGGAGCUUAGGACUGCGCUCUGUGGACAAGGGUCUCUGGUUAGUUUUGCUGGUUUGCUUUCAGCUUUUGAAAACACACGCUGUGCAAAUCCAUGCAAAACUGAUCAUGGCACUGAUAAAAGUCUGGUCGAAGCCAUCCCUUUUCUGUGCAGGUUGGGAGAGGUGACAAUGCUCUGUUUGGGAUGGUAUUGCACUUGUCCCGGCCUGUUGAGGACUUGGGGAACGUAGCUGCUUCCUUCGUCCUCCCUAACCUCGGAACUCCCAAGAACUCAACUCCUCAUUGCGCAUUACGUUUGACUUGUUUGUUUAAUAAAAAAAAUGUAUUGUAAUUUAAUUGUUUGUUACUUGUGCAACGGUCAAAGCUAUAAAAAAAAAUGACAAUUUAAAUAAAGUUUGUAAAAUACACUCAAA